rnacentral:lncRNA from 1 species
UUGGAAAUGUGCCCUAAAACCAAUCAUAUGAUGAUACUUUACAGACAUUUCAAAUGUUAAACUAAUCUAGUUUAACAUAUAAAGGGCAAAGAUUAUUGUUUGAGCCGUCUCAUAUAAAUGUUAUAUGCUUAAACGAUAAAGUCCAAGGAAUAUGUGAUUGGGAGAAUGCAAUCUAAUGAAGUUAGAUUAAUGAGACCAUUCUUUCGUAGACACUUCCUAAAUGUUCCUGAUCAUAGGAUUACCAAUUGGGCAUUGACAGUCCGUUAAGAUCAGUACGUACUGUGUCUUCUCUCAGGGAGAGUGACUAGUCUCGAGUCAUUGGUGUGUGUGACAUCAAGACAAGUACGUAGGUGCUCAAUAAGAGAAUGAGUUCACUGAACGUGAUCAACGAAGAGUUCUUAUAUUCCAUGUCACAUGAGAACUCAUGGUUGGGAUAAUGCAAAGUAGUCCUUUUACCUGAGGCAUCACAGUUGUCUUGUGGUUAAGUCCUUAAUCUUUGAUUAUGUCUAAUUCACCCCCUCGGGGUGUCACGGCAUCGUUGGGGUUAAGCCACUUAGCUAUGGAGACAAGUGAAUGCGCAACAAGGGAUCUCUAACCUUCAAACAGUUGAGGGAGAAUACUCUAUGAUAUGAUUUGGAAUCUCUGGCCAGAGUAUGAAUGAGAUUGGGGAAUGCGUUCCAAAUCACAUUCAAGGAAAUCAUAUAAGCAAACGAUUCACAUUGGAUAGUAGACAUGAGUAAAUAAACUAUCAUACCAAACAAUGUGGUCAAGAGUAUUAGAUUAGAGAAUGACCGUAUUGCAUUUGUAAUCCCGAACUGAAUAGGUUCUCCACCUCUUCUGAUUAGCUUGGGUAACUAUGAUAUGCUGCUAGGUGUCACUCAUGGUUUGUGGAAGCCCUAAACGUGUGUAAUCACUAAAGGGAGAAUUGAAAAUAGUUUCAAUUCACAAUCGAUGUAAAAUGGUUUUAAUCGCCCACUACCUCGCUAAAAGGAACCUAAUGGAUCGCACACCGUAAAAGGUAGAGAUUGGAGAUUAAACGGAAAUGAGUAAGAAUGAUUAAAUGGUUUAAUCAUUUAAUUAUGGCAAGGAUUAAUUAAUAUGUUAAUUAAUCAAACGAAUAAGUUCGUUAAAGACUUCGGGAUAGUUUUGGACCUUAAGGCCCAAUGGGCUUCGAACGUCAAGCCCAUUAACUUAAAUUGUAUGACAAUUUAAUGAAUAAAGAUUCAUUAAAGCCCAAAAGCCCAAACAUCCCUAAAUGGCCGGCCAUAUUAGAUGAAUUAGGGUUUUGGUUGUUUAGGUUACUUAAAGAAGUGACUAUAUAAAUGACUUUAUAGCCAAAAUUCAUUAAGGAAAAAUUAAGGGUUUAUUUUGGGGGAAAAUUGGUGAGAAUUGUCUCUCCAUUUUCUCUCUAAAGAGGCCAACACCUUGGAGGGUACAUCUAGCAAUCCUACUACUCCAAGGUCACUCAUUUCUUCUACAAUCAAACCUUGGUGAAGAGACUUAGAGGUUCCCUAUUUUGGGAACUUGGAGAAACCUAUUUUUCCAUCCAAAUCCAUGGAUCUAAGAAGCAAGGAAUGAAGGCCCUCUCUUUGGGUGAUUAGCCUUUGCUUAUGCAAAGAGGAAUCUACAAAGGUAAUAAUUUCAACUCACUUUGUUUUGAGUUGAUUAUUGGUUCACCAAUCUACUAGGCUUUGAAUUUCAUGAUAAUGUUUUGUUUUUGAGUGCAUGCAAGCAUGAUUCCGCAUUUUAAUUGUUAAUUGCAUGAUAUAUGAUGUUGCUCAAAUGAACAUGUUUUUCAAAAUAAAUCCUUC